rnacentral:rRNA from 1 species
GUGGGGAAUAUUGGACAAUGGGCGAAAGCCUGAUCCAGCAAUGCCGCGUGGAUGAAGAAGGUCUUCGGAUUGUAAAGUCCUUUCGGCGGGGACGAUGAUGACGGUACCCGCAGAAGAAGCCCCGGCUAACUUCGUGCCAGCAGCCGCGGUAAUACGAAGGGGGCUAGCGUUGCUCGGAAUGACUGGGCGUAAAGGGCGCGUAGGCGGAUUGAUUAGUUAGGCGUGAAAUUCCUGGGCUUAACCUGGGGGCUGCGCUUAAUACAGUCAGUCUAGAGUGUGGAAGAGGGUCGUGGAAUUCCCAGUGUAGAGGUGAAAUUCGUAGAUAUUGGGAAGAACACCGGUGGCGAAGGCGGCGACCUGGUCCAUUACUGACGCUGAGGCGCGAAAGCGUGGGGAGCAAACAGGAUUAGAUACCCCGGUAGUCC